UCGGAGGAAUUUAAAAAGCCUGAAGUCCAUGAUUACAAUAAGGAAACUGACUGGGAAUCCCCGGGAGUGGUGGUCAGGCAGGUUAAUCAAUCUAAAGAUAGACAAAAGUGCCAGGGUCUUCUGGCCGCACCCCAGCCUGGGACCUGAGACCGUUCGCAUGUAUGUGGGAAAAAUGGCCAGGGGGAGGAGGAAAAUGGCCCUGGGGCUCCUUGGUACAGGAGCCCAAUGCACUAUGAUACCAAAACCUGUUGGUGAAGUCUUAGCAGGGGCUAAGGUUAGAGUGGGAGGAUAUGGAGAUGCAGUGGCUGAUGGUAUUGAGGUGGAAGUUUGGAUGAAAAUUGAGUGUUUGAGCACGUUUUGCUUGAGGUGGUUGCGUCCCCUUUACCUGAAAGGAUUAUUGGGAUGGAUACUGUGUCUGACUGGGGUUGGCUUCCCCUGCCUAAUACAGUAACACAGAAGGCAUGUAAGCCCACCCUCAGGCCUGUUUAGUCGGACAUGCUAAAUUGGGAAUGGCUGGAACUUGACAAACAUAUCACCAUUCUUAGGAGUGCCAUGCUGGAAGCUGGAGCGCUGCUGUCCGCAGAUCUGCUGUGCAGUAGUCCUGUGUGGCCUGUGCAGAGGUGGACGGCACAUAGAGACUAUUCAAGCUUAAAUGAAAUGGGUGCCGCCCAAGGUCCCAGCAGUUCCAGGCAUGGUCUCAGCCGUAGAGAAAGUACAGCAGGUUGGAGGAGGCUGGUACCCCUGGAUGGACCUUACAGAUGCUCUCUUCUCCGAGCCCGGUUUGCCUUCAGGUGGGAAGGAUCCCAGUUUGCCUCUGCUGUGCUAGGCGGGGAUCUGAGCUCCACGGCUGAUUGUCACCACGUGGUCAGGAGGGAUAUGGACUUGGCGCAACGCUUGAGUGUAAUAAUACACGAUGUUGGUGACAUUAUGGUAAUACCAGAAACGGAGGAGCUGGCUAGGACUCAUUUGAAUGCAACAAGGACAUACGUGCCCAACCAGGGCUGGUUAAUAAAUCCAGCGAAGGUCCAAGGUCCUGCUCAGUGAAAUUCGUAGGAAGAACAUGGGCAGGAGCCACCCAGGAUAUUCCAGAAGUGUGACUAUCAAUAAACUGCUGUCACUCCCCCACCAGGUCCAAACAAGAAGCCCAGCACUUGCUUGAUUUAUUUGGGUUUUGGAGGACUCGCAUUCCACACCGGGAACUAUUUCUAGCUCCUGUGUGUAAGACUCCAUUAAAGAAAGCUGCAUCUGAGUGGGGUCCUGAACAGAAGCAGGCCACGUCAGAACUAUACAUGGCAGCUGUGUGCUUGACACCAUCGGGCCCUUGUGACCCCCACUGAGACAGGAUUUUGGAAGUGUCUGCCCCCCACACCCAUGCAGACUGCAGCUUGUGGGAAUAAAAAGAAAACGAGCACCUCCCAGCUGUGACCCUUGGGAUUCUGGACCAGAAAAUUCCCACAUGGUGCUGCCUGGUACACACCACUUGGGAGACAAUUAUGAACAUGCUGUUGGGAAUUAAUCAAGACUGCUUAAGUGACCGAAGGGCAGGCUGCCAGGAGGAUGCAAGGAGGCGCCCAUGGAUCCACGAGCAGGCAGCCUCAUCUCCUCUGGGACCGACACUGGAGCCCCCGGGGAACUGCAUGGACGGUGCCCUAGGAGCAGCUCUCAGCUGAACAACAGAGCUGCUUGGUUUACAGAGGGCAGUUCCAGGAGGCAUGGACAGUAUCCUGGUUGGAGGGCUGCUGCAGUAAGACCAGGGGAUGGCAAGACUGGCUGGGAGGAAGGAGAUAAACGUGAUCUCAGUGGGCUGAAUUCCAUGCCCUUUUCUGGGCAGUGACGGGAGAAUGGAGCAGUGAGGAAAGCCCCUCGUGCUGGGGUUCCUAUGACUUGGGGCUGUGGAUACUGGCCUGACUGUGUGGCCACGUAGACAGGAAAUGGGAAACUGGACUAUGAAAGCAAUGCCCACGUGGACAACGGCCAUAUGGAUAUUGCCCUGGGAAUUUGAGGGGCACGUUAAAGCAGGCCAUGUUGGUUUGUAUCAGAAGAAGCCUUUCUAGGAGUGGGAGGUGACUGUAGCCACCAGGUGGGCCUGCUGGUGCGGCCCUUGGAGGCAGCCGCCGGGGUCCAUACAAAGAGUGGCUGUGGGGAGCUGCAGCAGCGCGCGCACAGGCUGAGUCUACGCGUAUUCCUCUUGCACCCUGUGAGGCACGGAAUGCCAGCAAGACCUGUUCCGACUGUCAGCUAAAGAGACAGACACUGCAUUUGGCUAUGGGGAAAGUUCCCCAGUGGGCACGCCCUGCACAUAGCUGGCCAGUGGGUGAGAUUGGAUCAACGCUGCUACCGCUCGGAGGCUGUAAGUGGGUCGUUAGCAGAGUAGACACUUAUUCGGGACUAUGCUUUGCAUACCCAGUGGUAGGUGAAAUGCUGAAGACACCGUUUAAGGUUUGGAACUGAAGAUUCUAUACCAGUUUGGACAGCCAGGUUACAUCUCCGACCAGGGGACACGCUUUACCGACCAUGCUGUUCCACGGUGGGCCGAGAAACAUCCCAUCAGACGGAUGUACAGUGUUGCAUGUCACUCUCAGAGCAAUGGUUUAAUAGAAAAUUGGAACGGGC